CUCGUAGGCGGCCAACUAAGUCGGACGUGAAAUCCCCAGGCUCAACCUGGGAACUGCGUCCGAUACUGGAUGGCUUGAAUUCGGGAGAGGGAUGCAGAAUUCCAGGUGUAGCGGUGAAAUGCGUAGAUAUCUGGAGGAAUACCGGUGGCGAAGGCGGCAUCCUGGACCGACAUUGACGCUGAUGAGCGAAAGCCAGGGGAGCAAACG
rnacentral:rRNA from 1 species